rnacentral:tRNA from 1 species
GGUGAGAUGGCCGAGUGGUCUAAGGCGCCAGACUAAGGACUAGGGCAUUUAAUGCCCAAACCUUCCUCAUUGAGGAAUCUGGUCUUUCGGGGCGUGGGUUCGAAUCCCACUCUCAUCA